GUGCGUCCGUGGAACGAGCGGCGGAUGGGUGAGUAUCACGUGGCAACCUGCCUGUAAGAUUGGGAUAACUCGCGGAAACGUGAGCUAAUACCGAAUGAAGUCUUUCACCGCCUGGUGAAAGGAUGAAAGAUGGCUCUUGAGCUAUCACUUACAGAUGGGCCCGCGGCGCAUUAGCUAGUUGGUGGGGUAAAGGCCUACCAAGGCGACGAUGCGUAGCCGACCUGAGAGGGUGAUCGGCCACACUGGGACUGAGACACGGCCCAGACUCCUACGGGAGGCAGCAGUAGGGAAUCUUCCGCAAUGGACGAAAGUCUGACGGAGCAACGCCGCGUGAGUGAUGAAGGUCUUCGGAUCGUAAAACUCUGUUGUCAGGGAAGAACAAGUUGUGUUCUAACAGGACAUGACCUUGACGGUACCUGACCAGAAAGCCCCGGCUAACUACGUGCCAGCCGCAGC
rnacentral:rRNA from 1 species